UAUGUUCUUCUCUUUUCAGGUAUGGCUUAGCAAAGACAAUGUGACAAAUAGGAGCAUUUGGGCAAGAUAAAUAGGAGGCCAUGUUUAUGUCUACCUGUAGACCCUGGGUGUUGAUUUGGGAGGAAGCUUCUCCAACGAUGGUUAAGCAAGGCACUUAUCUACCAGUAUGUGGGAAGGUCCAUGCAGGAUUUACAACUGGCAGAAAAAAGAUCAA